rnacentral:rRNA from 1 species
CCUACGGGAGGCAGCAGUGGGGGAUAUUGCACAAUGGGGGGAACCCUGAUGCAGCGACGCCGCGUGGGUGAAGGAGUGCUUCGGCAUGUAAAGCCCUAUCGGCAGGGAAGAAGCAAGACGGUACCUGACUACGACGCCCCGGCUAACUACGUGCCAGCAGCCGCGGUAAUACGUAGGGGGCGAGCGUUAUCCGGAUUCACUGGGUGGAAAGGGAGCGUAGACGGCCAGGCAAGCCAGGGGUGAAAGCCCGGGGCCCAACCCCGGGACUGCCCUUGGAACUGCAUGGCUGGAGUGCGGGAGGGGCAGGCGGAAUUCCUGGUGUAGCGGUGAAAUGCGUAGAUAUCAGGAGGAACACCGGCGGCGAAGGCGGCCUGCUGGACCGCGACUGACGUUGAGGCUCGAAAGCGUGGGGAGCGAACAGGAUUAGAUACCCGGGUAGUC